CAAUAUUCAAAUAUAGCUAGGUGUCUUGCUUUUGUGUCUUGUCCUUUCAAUGCUUUAUUAUAGAUUAGGUGUCUUGUGCAGAGAUAUUGUCAAUGACACAUCAUUAGCUUCAUCUUUCAACUUUCUUCCUUUAUUGCUUUUUACUUGAUUGAUGAAAAUCUCUUCUAUGUUUUUCCCAUUCAUCCCAGCUGCUCCGACUACAACUCUGGCGAAUUAUCCCACAACGGUCAACGCUCACCCGAAGUCCGUUCUACGGUGUGCUUCAACUUCAUUUGAUGAAUCUCAGAAUAACGAGGAAGCUUAAGCUGAGUCAUUAUCGAUUUUACCCUCCGAUAUCAGGGACAAAAAUGACAUUUCCAUGUCGGAAAACUUCUGCGAUUUACCACCGUUCGAGAGUUUCUUCCCCAAUGAUUUGUUUCAGUUCGAGAACCUUGUUACCAUAUCCGACUUGUUUUUUGAACCGGAUACUUUACCCGACUGCAAUAACAUGUUAUUCGGAUCAAGUACUACUGAUUAUGGUUUUGGAUCUUCAUCCUGGCCCGUAGAGGACUUCUUUCAGGAUUUCGGAGAUGUAUUCGGGUCUAACCCGCUUGUGCCUCUUUGAUUUCAUCAGCAGAUUAAUCGGCGAUAAGUAUAAAUGGUUUAAUAUUCAUAAUUUUAAAAUUUAAUUUUGUGUUCAGUUACCAGUUUUGUUUAAAUUUUUUAAUUAAUGUGAGUGAUUAGUGAGUAAUUAGUAAUUAGUAGUAUUAAUAUGUCAGCUCCGUCACAUUAACGGUGAUGCUGAUGGAUGAGAUUUUGCGGUACAGUGUUGUUUUGGUGUUUUGUGCUUCGUUAAUAACAAUAAACGACUUUAGCAAUUAUUAAUUAUUCACUAAUUA